GAUGAACGCUGGCGGCGUGCCUAAUACAUGCAAGUCGAGCGAACAGAUGAGGAGCUUGCUCCUCUGACGUUAGCGUCGGACGUGUGAGUAACACGUUGAUAACCUACCUAUAAGACUGGGAUCACUGCGUGAAACCUGAGCUAAUACCGGAUAAUAUAUUGAACUUCAUGGUUCAAUAGUGAUAGACGGAUUUGCUGACACUUAUAGAUGCAUCCUCGCCGCAUUAGCUAGUUGGUAAGGUAACGGCUUACCAAGGCAACGAUGCGUAGCCGACCUGAGAGGGUGAUCGGCAACACUGGAACUGAGACACGGUCCAGACUCCUACGGGAGGCAGAAGUGGGGAAUCUUGGGAAAUGGGCGAAAGCUUGACGGAGCAACGCCGCGUGAGUGAUGAAGGUCUUCGGAUCGUAAAACUCUGUGAUUAGGGAAGAAGAAAUGUGUAAGUAAAUAUGCACGUCUUGACGGUACCUAAUCAGAAAGCCACGGCUAACUACGUG
rnacentral:rRNA from 1 species